GAUGAACGCUGGCGGCGUGCUUAACACAUGCAAGUCGAACGAGAAAUGUAGACGGAAACCUUCGGGCGGAAGCCUUCAUUUCGAGUGGCGGACGGGUGAGUAACGCGUGGGUAACCUGCCUCAUACAGGGGGAUAACAGCUGGAAACGACUGUUAAUACCGCAUAAGACCACAGCAUCGCAUGAUGCGGGGGUAAAAACUCCGGUGGUAUGAGAUGGACCCGCGUUCGAUUAGCCAGUUGGCGGGGUAACGGCCCACCAAAGCGACGAUCGAUAGCCGAUCUGAGAGGAUGACCGGCCACAUUGGGACUGAGACACGGCCCAAACUCCUACGGGAGGCAGCAGUGGGGAAUAUUGCACAAUGGGGGAAACCCUGAUGCAGCGACGCCGCGUGAGUGAAGAAGUACUUCGGUAUGUAAAGCUCUAUCAGCAGGGAAGAAAAUGACGGUACCUGAGUAAGAAGCCCCGGCUAACUACGUG
rnacentral:rRNA from 1 species